rnacentral:lncRNA from 1 species
GGAUUAAUGAUGUAUUUUACUCUUUUAUUUAUUAUUAGAAUCAAUUUGACUCAUCAUUCUUAAAUGAACUUUUACGCCCCCACACCCCAAACACACAAACCACCCUACUCUUUUUUCUGCACUUUGAAACGUUCCGCAACUGACUUGAGGAGAAACAGAGCCAUACGGGGGCGCAGUGUCAUUUUCUCAUUCUCCUCCAUGUGCGUGUGUUUAGUACCUUGGACUUUGGUACUCAACUUGUAUGUCCAAAUCUAAAAUGAAAAGGUACCUUGAACUUUGGUACACACUUGUCUUCAUUGAAAACUCACUUUGGACCCUAUGGUGAUUUGGAAUAUGGUUGGACCAUGUUGUCAGCACGCACACAAGGUACUCCCUCCAUUCUUAUUAUAGCUCAUAUAACUUUGUGUAGUACUUCUUUUUUUUUCUUUUGUGGGGAAAGUUUGUGUACUUCAACCAAAACAAAUCCUUGUGUUUUAGUACUUAGUCAUUCCUAUUAGCUUAGAAGUAAUGAGUGUGAAUAGUUAUAGGC